rnacentral:rRNA from 1 species
UAGGGAAUAUUGCAAAUGGGCGAAAGCCUGAUGUAGCAACGCCGCGUGUGCGAUGAAGGUCUUCGGAUUGUAAAGCACUUUUUGGAGGGAUGAGGAAGGACAGUACCUCCAGAAUAAGCCUCGGCUAACUACGUGCCAGCAGCCGCGGUAACACGUAGGAGGCAAGCGUUAUUCGGAUUUACUGGGCGUAAAGCGCGUGCAGGCGGUUUGGAAAGUUGGAUGUGAAAGCUCCUGGCUCAACUGGGAGAGGUCGUUCAAAACUUCCAGACUUGAGAGUGGGAGAGGGAGGUGGAAUGCCAGGUGUAGUGGUGAAAUGCGUAGAUAUCCGGAGGAACACCAGUGGCGAAAUCGGCGUCCUGGACCACUUCUGACGCUCAGACGCGAAAGCUAGGGUAGCAA